AUUGAACGCUGGCGGUAGGCCUAACACAUGCAAGUCGAACGGUAACAGGCCUUCGGGUGCUGACGAGUGGCGAACGGGUGAGUAAUGCAUCGGAACGUGCCCAAUCGUGGGGGAUAACGUAGCGAAAGUUACGCUAAUACCGCAUAAGCCCCUGAGGGGGAAAGUGGGGGACCGCAAGGCCUCACGCGAAUGGAGCGGCCGAUGUCAGAUUAGCUAGUUGGUGGGGUAAAGGCCCACCAAGGCGACGAUCUGUAGCGGGUCUGAGAGGAUGAUCCGCCACACUGGGACUGAGACACGGCCCAGACUCCUACGGGAGGCAGCAGUGGGGAAUUUUGGACAAUGGGCGCAAGCCUGAUCCAGCCAUGCCGCGUGAGUGAAGAAGGCCUUGGUGUAAG
rnacentral:rRNA from 1 species